rnacentral:tRNA from 1 species
UGUUCUGUGGCUUAGUUGGUUAAGGCGCCGGUCUAGCGAAUACGGAGUCGUGGGUUCCGAGUCCCACCAGAACGC